UCAUGAGAUAAAAGGCUGGAUGGGAAUUUCACUUGAUGGAACACAUCAGGUACUCUUCUGUUGUGGGCUGCCAGUAGUGCAGCAGAAAUUCCAAAAGGAGAGGUAUUAGCUAGAAAAUUCACAGCAACUGCAGCCUACAUUUCCAGAACUGGACAACAUGAAUCAGACCUGAUGCAAGAGAAGAGCCAAGCCUUCAAAAGCAGUUGCUGGAGGCUUUCAGAGUCCACAAUUUUUCAUCCUAACACAUUCCAGAGAAAAUCACUGCAGAGUUGCACAUUCG